AUCAGGUCCCUCCUUGUUAAAGAUGGGGAGGAUGUCUCACGGUGAGGUUGUGAAGCACCUACCACUGGCCGGGUGCAUACCUCCCUUUCUUUCUUCCUGGGAAAUUGCCUGCCGCCUGGCAUAUAUUUACUUCCAUCUGGGAUUUUAAAUUCAACUGAACAAAUAACAACCAUCGUGGGGAAGAUGCUGGCUGGAGGAAACUAGCGGAGAAAUCACGGCCUGGGUUCCACUCGUCCAUCUCGGCUGCUCGAGACUGUGAGGAGGUGGAGAAAUAAAACAUCUCUAUUUUCCGAAAGGCGGAUUCUUUACCACUAGCGUCACCUUGGAAAUCCCAUAUAUAGUCAUUAGCCGAGCAAUAUUGCCAGCAUCUUCGCUGUCGUCAUUGUCCCAUAGAAAAGGCACUGCUGGUGGCCUUUGUGACUUCACCGGGCAUUGAUAACACACCUGAACAUUAUCAGAUGCUACCGACAUCAAACAGCCACAAGUGCUGCUGGAAACCUGACGAAGGCAGCUGUGUGAGAGUGAGAGGAAAUGUAAAGACAACGAGCAGAUGUGUCAGGCACUGGGCCAUUCACUGGAAAUACAGCGAUUCGAUAGAAAUGUCUUCAGCGCGGCUUCCUGGCAAUUUGUCUCCUGCCUGGAAAUAUGCAGGGCGCUGAAGGUAGGAGUCCAUAUGCUCAGGUUCUCAAAGUCUAAAUGACAGGCGGAAGACUUUUUCCACUGACAAAGGAAGAAAACUUGGUAUCUGCAAAGCAAGAGUGGAUGCAGCUGAAAGACCCAGAAAUUCUGAUGACAGAGCCUCUUACUUGCCCUAAGAGGAUAUGUGGUAUUUUAGGGUGGCCUUUGAAAUACAGUUGGGUUUCUCCUUUUAUUUUCUAG
rnacentral:lncRNA from 1 species